GACGAACGCUGGCGGCGUGCCUAAUACAUGCAAGUAGAACGCUGAAGAGAGGAGCUUGCUCUUCUUGGAUGAGUUGCGAACGGGUGAGUAACGCGUAGGUAACCUGCCUUGUAGCGGGGGAUAACUAUUGGAAACGAUAGCUAAUACCGCAUAACAAUGGAUGACACAUGUCAUUUAUUUGAAAGGGGCAAUUGCUCCACUACAAGAUGGACCUGCGUUGUAUUAGCUAGUAGGUGAGGUAACGGCUCACCUAGGCGACGAUACAUAGCCGACCUGAGAGGGUGAUCGGCCACACUGGGACUGGGACACGGCCCAGACUCCUACGGGAGGCAGCAGUAGGGAAUCUUCGGCAAUGGGGGCAACCCUGACCGAGCAACGCCGCGGGAGUGAAGAAGGGUGUCGGAUCGGAAAGCUCUGUUGUAAGUCAAGAACGAGUGUGAGAGUGGAAAGUUCACACUGUGACGGUAGCUUACCAGAAAGGGACGGCUAACUACGUG
rnacentral:rRNA from 1 species